AGUGAACGCUGGCGGUAGGCCUAACACAUGCAAGUCGAACGGCAGCACAGUAAGAGCUUGCUCUUACGGGUGGCGAGUGGCGGACGGGUGAGGAAUACAUCGGAAUCUACUUUUUCGUGGGGGAUAACGUAGGGAAACUUACGCUAAUACCGCAUACGACCUACGGGUGAAAGCAGGGGAUCUUCGGACCUUGCGCGAUUGAAUGAGCCGAUGUCGGAUUAGCUAGUUGGCGGGGUAAAGGCCCACCAAGGCGACGAUCCGUAGCUGGUCUGAGAGGAUGAUCAGCCACACUGGAACUGAGACGCGGUCCAGACUCCUACGGGAGGCAGCAGUGGGGAAUAUUGGACAAUGGGCGCAAGCCUGAUCCAGCCAUACCGCGUGGGUGAAGAAGGCCUUCGGGUUGUAAAGCCCUUCUGUUGGGAAAGAAAAGCAGCAGGUUAAUACCCCGCUGUUCUGACGGUACCCAAAGAAUAAGCACCGGCUAACUUCGUG
rnacentral:rRNA from 1 species